UGGGGCAUAGCUCAGUGGUAGAGCACUUGGUUAGCACACAUGCAGCCUUGAGUUCAAUUCCUAGUACUGUAU
rnacentral:tRNA from 1 species